rnacentral:rRNA from 1 species
AUUGAACGCUGGCGGCAUGCCUAACACAUGCAAGUCGAACGGUAACAGGCCUUCGGGCGCUGACGAGUGGCGGACGGGUGAGUAAUACGUAGGAAUCUGCCUUAUAGUGGGGGAUAACUUAGGGAAACUUAAGCUAAUACCGCAUACGCACUACGGUGGAAAGCAGGGGAUCGCAAGACCUUGCGCUAUUAGAUGAGCCUACGUCGGAUUAGCUAGUUGGUAGGGUAAAGGCCUACCAAGGCAACGAUCCGUAGCUGGUCUGAGAGGACGACCAGCCACACUGGGACUGAGACACGGCCCAGACUCCUACGGGAGGCAGCAGUGGGGAAUAUUGGACAAUGGGCGCAAGCCUGAUCCAGCAAUGCCGCGUGUGUGAAGAAGGCCU